CAAUAGCGUAUAUUAAAGCUGUUGCGGUUAAAAAGCUCGUAGUUGGAUUUCUGUCAAGGACAACUGGUCCGCCCUCCGGGUGAGCACAUAGUUUGGUCUUGGCAUCUUGCUGGAAACUGUUGCUGCACUUGGUUGUGUGGCGCAGCAUCCAGCACUUUCACUUUGAGGAAAUUGGAGUGUUUCAAGCAGGCACAUGCCUUUGGACACAGUAGCAUGGAAUAAUUAGAUUGGGCUUUUGCUCCAAUUUGUCGGUUUCUGGAGCUGAGGUGAGAAUUAAUGGGGAUUGUUGAGGGCAUCCGAAUUUAGCCGUCAGAGGUGAAAUUCUUGGAUCUGCUAAAGACGGACAACUGCGAAAGCGUUUGCCCAGGAUGUUUUCAUUGA
rnacentral:rRNA from 1 species